ACGAACGUUGGCGGCAUGUUUAAGGCAUGCAAGUCGUACGGUCUGUUGUUCUUCGGAGUAACAGAUAGUGGCAAACGGGAGCGUAACACAUUGGUAACCUACCUCGAGGCCGUGAAUAAUUCGCUGAAAAGCGGACUAAUACACGAUAUGGAUGGGGGGACGAAAGUCAUUCCCAUUGAAUGCUUCGGCACCACGAGAGGGGCCUAUGUCCUAUCAGCUAGUUGGUGAGGUAAAAGCUCACCAAGGCUACGACGGGUACCGGGCGUGAGAGCGUGGCCCGGCUCACUGGGACUGAGACACUGCCCAGACACCUACGGGUGGCUGCAGUCAAGAAUCUUCCGCAAUGCGCGAAAGCGUGACGGAGCGAUGCCGCGUGCCGGAUGAAGGCCUUCGGGUUGUAAACGGCUUUUAUUAGGGACGAACAAAUGACGGUACCUAAUGAAUAAGGGGUUGCUAACUCUGU
rnacentral:rRNA from 1 species